AUUGAACGCUGGCGGCAUGCCUUACACAUGCAAGUCGAACGGCAGCACGGGUGCUUGCACCUGGUGGCGAGUGGCGAACGGGUGAGUAAUACAUCGGAACGUACCUUAUCGUGGGGGAUAACGCAGCGAAAGCUGUGCUGAUACCGCAUACGCCCUGAGGGGGAAAGGGGGGGAUCGCAAGACCUCGCGCGAUUAGAGCGGCCGAUGCCUGAUUAGCUUGUUGGUGGGGUAAAAGCCCACCAAGGCGACGAUCAGUAGCUGGUCUGAGAGGACGAUCAGCCACACUGGGACUGAGACACGGCCCAGACUCCUACGGGAGGCAGCAGUGGGGAAUUUUGGACAAUGGGGGCAACCCUGAUCCAGCAAUGCCGCGUGAGUGAAGAAGGCCUUCGGGUUGUAAAGCUCUUUUGUCAGGGAAGAAACACCGGCUCUAACACAGUCUGGGAAUGACGGUACCUGAAGAAUAAGCACCGGCUAACUACGUGCCAGCCGCCGCGGUAA
rnacentral:rRNA from 1 species